CUAGGGUCUUUUGCAGAUCCAGAUUUUGCUCCCAUGAUUGACAAUAACACUGACUCUACCAAAAGGACCAAGAAGGAUAAGGCCAUUAUGUAUGCAAGAGGGCCUGGUCCUUUCCUAGGUUCGCCUUGCAGGCUGUACCCCAUGGAUGGCCCUUCAUCACCAGCUCUUACCCCUCCUCCAUCAGCUCCUCCACAUACUCAAUUUGGAGAAUUUGAAGUUUGAAGAGGACCCUGACCUGUGACAAAUGGGCUGGGUGAUGUAAUAUAUUUCGAAAAGUUGUCUGAUACGCGUAUUUGACUAAAUUCUUUCCCUGACCAAUCCUGUCCCCUCUAUUUUGUCUUUCCUCAUUUCCCCUGAUAAACCCAUCACAGUUCUGA